UUUUGACCUCAAAUCAGGUAGGACUACCCGCUGAACUUAAGC
rnacentral:rRNA from 3 species